UACGGAGGGUGCGAGCGUUAUCCGGAUUCACUGGGUUUAAAGGGUGCGUAGGUGGGUCUGUAAGUCAGUGGUGAAAUCUCCGGGCUUAACCUGGAAACUGCCAUUGAUACUAUAGGUCUUGAAUUUUCUGGAGGUAAGCGGAAUAUGUCAUGUAGCGGUGAAAUGCUUAGAUAUGACAUAGAACACCAAUUGCGAAGGCAGCUUGGCUACAGGAAUAUUGACACUGAGGCACGAAAGCGUGGGAUCAAACAGG
rnacentral:rRNA from 1 species